rnacentral:rRNA from 1 species
AUACGGAGGGGGCUAGCGUUGUUCGGAAUUACUGGGCGUAAAGCGCACGUAGGCGGCUUUGUAAGUCAGAGGUGAAAGCCUGGAGCUCAACUCCAGAACUGCCUUUGAGACUGCAUCGCUUGAAUCCAGGAGAGGUCAGUGGAAUUCCGAGUGUAGAGGUGAAAUUCGUAGAUAUUCGGAAGAACACCAGUGGCGAAGGCGGCUGACUGGACUGGUAUUGACGCUGAGGUGCGAAAGCGUGGGGAGCAAACAGGAUUAGAAACCCGGGUAGUCC